UACGAAGGGGGCUAGCGUUGCUCGGAAUCACUGGGCGUAAAGGGUGCGUAGGCGGGUCUUUAAGUCAGGGGUGAAAUCCUGGAGCUCAACUCCAGAACUGCCUUUGAUACUGAAGAUCUUGAGUUCGGGAGAGGUGAGUGGAACUGCGAGUGUAGAGGUGAAAUUCGUAGAUAUUCGCAAGAACACCAGUGGCGAAGGCGGCUCACUGGCCCGAUACUGACGCUGAGGAGCGAAAGCCAGGGGGAGCAAACGGG
rnacentral:rRNA from 1 species